rnacentral:rRNA from 1 species
UGGGGAAUAUUGCGCAAUGGGCGAAAGCCUGACGCAGCAACGCCGCGUGAGUGAUGAAGGCCUUCGGGUCGUAAAGCUCUGUCGGAGGGAACGAAUGCUCUUGAGGUUAACAGCCUCGGGAGGUGACGGUACCCUCAAAGGAAGCACCGGCUAACUACGUGCCAGCAGCCGCGGUAAUACGUAGGGACCAAGCGUUGUUCGGAUUUACUGGGCGUAAAGGGCGCGUAGGCGGCAAUUCAAGUCAUCUGUGAAAUCUCCGGGCUUAACUCGGAACGGUCAGAUGAUACUGCUUUGCUAGAGUGCAGAAGGGGCAAUCGGAAUUCUUGGUGUAGCGGUGAAAUGCGUAGAUAUCAAGAGGAACACCUGAGGUGAAGACGGGUUGCUGGGCUGACACUGACGCUGAGGCGCGAAAGCCAGGGGAGCAAACGGGAUUAGAUACCCACGUAGUCCCUGAGCGGGCUGGCAAGGCGCAU